rnacentral:rRNA from 1 species
ACUACGGGGCGCAGCAGGGAGGAAUAUUGGGCAAUGGUCGGGAGACUGAACCAGCCAAGCCGCGUGAGGGAGGAAGGUACAGAGUAUCGUAAACCUCUUUUGUCAGGGAACAAAGACUGGGACGCGUCCCCGGAUGAGUGUACCUGAAGAAAAAGCAUCGGCUAACACCGUGCCAGCAGCUGCGGUAAUACGGAGGAUGCGAGCGUUAUCCGGAUUUAUGGGGUUAAAAGGGUGGGCGGGGGGUCGUUUAAGUCAGCGGUCAAAGCCCGGGGCUCAACCCCGGCCCGCCGUUGAAACUGGCAGUCUCGAGUUGGCGAGAGGUAUGCGGAAUGCGCGGUGUAGCGGUGAAAUGCAUAGAUAUCGCGCAGAACUCCGAUUGCGAAGGCAGCAUGCCGGCUCCACACUGACGCUGAGGCACGAAAGCGUGGGUAUCGAACAGGAUUAGAUACCCUAGUAGUC